AUCAAUUCUAGGAAUUUGGGCUAAGAUCAAGUGUAUUAUCUGUUCUUUUCAGUUUAAUAGCUGAUACAUCCUCUAUCUGAGGACAAUAUAUUAAAUGGAUUUUUGGAACUAGGAUUGGAAUAGGAGCUUGCUCCAUCCACUCCACACAUUGACCUGGUAUUGCAGUGCCUCCAGGAAUGGUGCACACACA